ACACAGGUGGGACCCAGUACUAAGUGAUUUAUCCUUUGAUUUGCUAAUUGCACUUCACACCGAUGGUGCCUUAAAAAAAAGUUCUGAUCUCCUUGUCGCUGCUACUGCCUUCUUGGUUCUCAUCUCUCUUUACUUGUUGCGUGAUGCCUACCUGUCUCGGUGUCUCGUUGACAUAUAUGUAUGUGAUUCUAGUCUACAAACGAACCUGCACAAGUGGCCUCCGUUCAAUACAGCAUAAUAAAAACCUUAGGCACAUUAGGUCUAUUUAUUUUUCUGGCUGUCCUUUCUGGUGAGGGAAUACACUUGCAGGCUCGGCGAGGGCCUUCGGAUAAGAGCAUAAGACAAGUUCGUUAUUCUUCUCUUCUCAGUUUACAGAGGUACAGCUUGACUCAAUGCUUCAGGUUUAACUUGCUCUGAAAUUAUCUAUGCCUUUUUUUACAUAAGAAGUUAAUAUGAUUCGUUGUCUGUGCAACAGAUUAACUAGCUGCAUUGUUAACUUUUAGUGCCAUGUAUAUU
rnacentral:lncRNA from 7 species